rnacentral:rRNA from 1 species
UACGUAAGUGGUGGAAAUUAAACCAAAUGGGAUAUCUUUAGUAAUUGCGAAUGAACAAGGAUAUGCUUAGCUUGACAAAUGGAGCUAUUGGCUUUGAAUUGUAUUGUGGAAAUGUAUUACCAACAGAGGUGCAGGUGCCAGCCUAUUGAAAUAAAGCGUCAAUGAGGGUGAGAAUCCUGUUUGUCAUGUGCAGCCCUUUGUGCACGGUGUAUAUUUGCUGAGUCACACUCCUUGGCAUUGGAAUGCAAAGUGGGUGGUAAGUUUCAUGUAAAGGUAAACAUGCAAUUGAGACUGAUAGCACACAAGUACCAUGAGGGAAAUAUGAAAAGGACUUUGAAAAGAGAAUUAAAUGAGUUUGUAUUUGCUGAACACAAAGUAAACAGACUUGAUUUGCUUGGUGGGAGUGUUGCACUUGCUUGACAAGAGCUUUGGGCUGUGGGUGUAAUGAUUCUUUCUUUGCAUGCCAGUUUCUAUGUGUACAUCUGAUUACCUUUGCACAUGAAUGAUAAGUCUCCUGUGGGGGGUGGAUUGCAUGUGCAUGUAAUGAUUUGUGUUUUGAUAAAUGUGUCUGGUGUAUGUGUGUGUUCCUGUGCUUGGGGAUGCUUCCUUCCUUGGACUUACAAGCCCUGACACACACAUGCUGGCAAAAUGCUUCUGCUUGACCCG